AAAUAUAACAUAGAGGGUCCUGCCUGCCCAGUGACAAAAAGUUAAACGGCCGCGGUAUCUUGACCGUGCGAAGGUAGCAUAAUCACUUGUCUCCUAAAUAGAGACUGGUAUGAAUGGCAAGACGGAACUUAACUGUCUCCUUUUCUCAUAUCUUAAUUUCACUUUCCCGUGAAGAGGCGGGAAAAUAUUCGCUAGACGAGAAGACCCUGUCGAGCUUAAGCAAAACACUAAUUUCUAGUUCCUCUUAAUUACAUACUAAUUUUUUCCUGUUAAAUUUAGCUAAGAGAAAAUUAUUAGUACAAGCUUUGGUUGGGGCAACCACGGAGAAGAAAAAUCCUCCGCUUACAACAGAUAAAAACAAGACCCUACAAGUCUAAUAUUGUAUAAACAAGUCAACUGAUCCACCACGGUGAUCAAAGGAAAAAGUUACCGCAGGGAUAACAGCGUUAUCUUUUCUGAGAGUUCACAUUGACGAAAAGGUUUGCGACCUCGAUGUUGGAUCGGGACAUCCUAAGGGUGCAGAAGCUUUUAAGGGUUGGUCUGUUCGACCAUUAAAGUCCU
rnacentral:rRNA from 1 species